GCAGCUCCAGGCCCAGCUGCAGGUGGCGGAGGCGGAAGAGCUGCGCGCUGGAGGCCGAGGCCACGUCCAGGGCGGGCGGCGGCUCGGGCGGCGGACGCGCGGGCGCGGCCUCGGCGCCGGGCGCCUUGCGGCAGCAGCACUGCGCCGCCAUAGCCGCCGCGCUAGGUGGCCCAGCACCUGCCCAGGUGCCAAGGGCAGAGUGCUUUAGAUGGCACUCCCAGUUUGACCAGCCUUUUGGAGCCACCGACCCCCCACCAGGCCAGUGGGGCUGGAGUUAGAAGACCUUCAGGAGGACCGUGUGUGGGCACCCACACUAGCCUGCCCGAGGCACCCGCAGGCAGGUCUACCAGCCACCUGCACACUCGGGGAUCUUAGUUCCCUGACCAGGGAUUGAACCUGGGCCCCAGGAGUGAAGGCACCGACUCCUAACCACUGGACCGCCAGGGAAUUCCCUGAUCCUGACUUUCAAGGGGCAGCAGGGCUUUGCUGCUGCUCAGGGGGGCCAGGAGGAGGACGCUGGAACUCAGGGCGUUCUCCUGAUGCCUCCCAGGACUCCCUGGUGGUACGGCAGAGGUCGCCGAGGCCACAGCGCCAGUGCAGGCAGGACCGCUCAGGGCUCUUCAGGAUGAAGGCUCCAGACACCCGACUAGGAAAGACCAGGACCUGAGGCAUUGGCUGAGGGUCAAGGAAAAUGAUAAACAUCAACUGCAGUAGUUUAUUCAUAAACUUGUUAUGUAUAUAUUUGUAUAUUAAUCCGGUAUUAUAUUAUCUGUAAUUCAUAUGUGUUACCCAAUUUUUCCUUUACUCUUUCCCCACUAUCUUAUUUAAGGAGUGUUGGUGGUGAUUAAUUUUCUAGUAUAGUCUUUAGGCUGUAGCGUGUCCAAGUGGGGUGCCUCUGAACCAGAAGAGGAAUCAACAAGCUCAGACACACGGGUGGUCAUUGCAUUGUUGACAUGACCUUGGCUGCAGGAUGUUAGGCUGGGACUCAUUGCUGUUGCUGAAACUGGGAGGCCAGUAAGGUAGGAGGUGGGUACGGACACUGAGACCCCCAAGGGUGCCCACAUUGGGUGGUCUGUCACACAGCCUCAAACCCUCACUGUGUGUCACAGCAGCUACAAGUCUGGAAACUGGGCCCUCACCAGCUGGAUCCCAUGUUGCGUUCUGUGAUGGGACCAGUGUGAGGUUUGGGAAAGCCACUGUGGCUUGAGCAGGUGGCAGGCACGAGGUUCUGCCAGCAGCCCCCCAGAAGUCGCCCACAUCAGAGUGGAAGGCAGCCAGGAACAGGGUGGCGGGUCUCUGUGACUCCUGUACUUCCCCAUCUCCUGACCUUGGCUCCCUGGCCUCCAUCUCUCUGUAGUAAAUGUGGUUUUGGCUAAAAUUCCUCAAGUGGUUUUGAUGUUCCUGACCAAGCUCUGUCUAAUAAACCUGCUGACCAGGGGAGGAACGAUUCUCAGUUCUCUCCUCGGUGGACACACCCCUGCCCUACCGUCAAGGGGGAGACAGAGACCUUCAGGAAGUUGCAGAAAAUAAAAAAUCCGUGGGACGUGAGGCAGGAGAGGACAGACCACCCUCCCGUCAGUGCGUGAACUACCUCUUCCCACCCCGAGGCUGCAGGAAACUCCAAGCGCCCCCCUUUGGGGUUGGGCCGUCCUCAAGGGCUGACCCAUUAGGGCUCAGUCGGGCCCGAGGGCUCUUCGGGCAGGCGGGACCGCGACUGCAGGGCCUCCUCGUACUUCU